CCUACGGGUGGCAGCAGUGGGGAAUAUUGCACAAUCGGCGCAAGCCUGAUGCAGCCAUGCCGCGUGUGUGAAGAAGGCCUUCGGGUUGUAAAGCACUUUCAGCGGGGAGGAAGGCGUUAAGGUUAAUAACCUUGGCGAUUGACGUUACCCGCAGAAGAAGCACCGGCUAACUCCGUGCCAGCAGCCGCGGUAAUACGGAGGGUGCAAGCGUUAAUCGGAAUUACUGGGCGUAAAGCGCACGCAGGCGGUCUGUCAAGUCGGAUGUGAAAUCCCCGGGCUCAACCUGGGAACUGCAUUCGAAACUGGCAGGCUAGAGUCUUGUAGAGGGGGGUAGAAUUCCAGGUGUAGCGGUGAAAUGCGUAGAGAUCUGGAGGAAUACCGGUGGCGAAGGCGGCCCCCUGGACAAAGACUGACGCUCAGGUGCGAAAGCGUGGGGAGCAAACAGGAUUAGAUACCCCGGUAGUC
rnacentral:rRNA from 1 species